GACGAACGCUGGCGGCGUGCCUAAUACAUGCAAGUUGAGCGCUGAAGGUUGGUACUUGUCCCAACUGGCUGAGCAGCGAACGGGUGAGUAACGCGUGGGGAAUCUGCCUUUGAGCGGGGGACAACAUUUGGAAACGAAUGCUAAUACCGCAUAAAAACUUUAAACACAAGUUUUAAGUUUGAAAGAUGCAAUUGCAUCACUCAAAGAUGAUCCCGCGUUGUAUUAGCUAGUUGGUGAGGUAAAGGCUCACCAAGGCGAUGAUACAUAGCCGACCUGAGAGGGUGAUCGGUCACAUUGGGACUGAGACACGGCCCAAACUCCUACGGGAGGCAGCAGUAGGGAAUCUUCGGCAAUGGACGAAAGUCUGACCGAGCAACGCCGCGUGAGUGAAGAAGGUUUUCGGAUCGUAAAACUCUGUUGGUAGAGAAGAACGUUGGUGAGAGUGGAAAGCUCAUCAAGUGACGGUAACUACCCAGAAAGGGACGGCUAACUACGUG
rnacentral:rRNA from 1 species